GCUAAUUAACUGAGGUCUAAAUCUGUUUUGUGAUUGCUUAAUAACUUAAAGACAAAUAUGCCUUAUGGUAUUUCUACAACACAGUACUUUACUGCUUUGGCAUCAUUUCUAGCUGCCGGAAUUGCUGGUUCGUCAAUUGUCUUCCAUAUGUAUAAGCCCCUUGAGGGCAUUGAGAAACAAGUUGAAGAAGAGAAAGAGAAGCUCAGGGAAGAGUUUACCAAAUAUUGUGAAAAAAAGGCAGGAAAAUGAAAGACCAAGCUCAAAUACAAUUGUUUUUAGUCUGUAUCAAUAUAUAAAAUCAUAAUGGAAAGUUUAGAGACUAUGAUAUAAUGUUUAUGGACGAAUGAUACUUAUGUGUGUUAAAUAUUAGCAUUUAUGAAUUAAAAUUAAAGAAAAAA